UUCUGGCUCAGGACGAACGCUGGCGGCGUGCCUAACACAUGCAAGUCGAGCGAGGAGAUCCUUCGGGAUGAUCCUAGCGGCGGACGGGUGAGUAACACGUGGGCAACCUGCCUCAUAGAGAGGAAUAGCCUUCCGAAAGGGAGAUUAAUACCUCAUAACAUUGCAGUUUCGCAUGGAACAGCAAUUAAAGGAGCAAUCCGCUAUGAGAUGGGCCCGCGGCGCAUUAGCUAGUUGGUGAGGUAACGGCUCACCAAGGCGACGAUGCGUAGCCGACCUGAGAGGGUGAUCGGCCACAUUGGGACUGAGACACGGCCCAGACUCCUACGGGAGGCAGCAGUGGGGAAUAUUGCACAAUGGGGGAAACCCUGAUGCCAGCAACGCCGCGUGAGUGAUGACGGCCUUCGGGUUGUAAAGCUCUGUCUUCAGGGACGAUAAUGACGGUACCUGAGGAGGAAGCCACGGCUAACUACGUGCCAGCCGCGGC
rnacentral:rRNA from 1 species